GUGCUCACUUCAGCAGCACAUAUACUAAAAUUGGAACAAUGCAGAGACUAGCAUGGCCCCUGCUCAAGGAUGACAUGUAAAUUCGUGAAGAGUUCCAGAUUUUU
rnacentral:snRNA from 1 species